GUGGGGAAUUUUGGACAAUGGGCGCAAGCCUGAUCCAGCAAUGCCGCGUGCAGGAAGAAGGCCUUCGGGUUGUAAACUGCUUUUGUACGGAACGAAAAGGCUCUGGUUAAUACCUGGGGCUCAUGACGGUACCGUAAGAAUAAGCACCGGCUAACUACGUGCCAGCAGCCGCGGUAAUACGUAGGGUGCGAGCGUUAAUCGGAAUUACUGGGCGUAAAGCGUGCGCAGGCGGUGCUGUAAGACAGGCGUGAAAUCCCCGGGCUCAACCUGGGAAUUGCGCUUGUGACUGCAGUGCUGGAGUGCGGCAGAGGGGGAUGGAAUUCCGCGUGUAGCAGUGAAAUGCGUAGAUAUGCGGAGGAACACCGAUGGCGAAGGCAAUCCCCUGGGCCUGCACUGACGCUCAUGCACGAAAGCGUGGGGAGCAAACAGGAUUAGAUACCCCAGUAGUCC
rnacentral:rRNA from 1 species